rnacentral:rRNA from 1 species
AGAACGAACGCUGGCGGCAGGCCUCAAACAUGCAAGUCUAGGGGGUGUAGCAAUACAUCACCGGCGGACGGGUGCGUAACACGUGGGAAUGUACCUACUGGUUCGGAACAACGCAGGGAAACUUGCGCUAAUACCGAAUAAGCCCGAAAGGGGAAAGAUUUAUCGCCAGUAGAUCAGCCCGCGUAGGAUUAGCUAGUUGGUGGGGUAAUGGCCCACCAAGGCUCCGAUCCUUAGCUGUUCUGAGAGGAAGAUCAGCCACACUGGGACUGAGACACGGCCCAGACUCCUACGGGAGGCAGCAGUUGGGAAUCUUGGACAAUGGGGGAAACCCUGAUCCAGCCAUGCCGCGUGAGUGAUGGAGGCCUUCGGGUUGUAAAACUCUUUCGACGGGGACGAUAAUGACGGUACCCGUAGAAGAAGCACCGGCCAACUAUGUGCCAGCAGCCGC